UACGAAGGGUGCAAGCGUUAAUCGGAAUUACUGGGCGUAAAGCGUGCGCAGGCGGUUGUGCAAGACAGAUGUGAAAUCCCCGGGCUUAACCUGGGAACUGCAUUUGUGACUGCACGGCUAGAGCGUGGUCAGAGGGGGUAGAAUUCCACGUGUAGCAGUGAAGUGCGUAGAUAUGUGGAGGAAUACCGAUGGCGAACGGCAGCCCCCUGGGAGUAACACUGACGCUCAUAGCACGAAAGACGUGGGGAGGCAAACAACGGAGUUAGUAAACCCC
rnacentral:rRNA from 1 species